CACGUAGGGCGCAAGCGUUGUCCGGAUUUAUUGGGCGUAAAGAGCUCGUAGGCGGUCUGUCACGUCUGCUGUGAAAAGCUGGGGCUUAACCCUGGCCUUGCAGUGGAUACGGGCAGACUAGAGGUAGGUAGGGGAGAAUGGAAUUCCCGGUGUAGCGGUGAAAUGCGCAGAUAUCGGGAGGAACACCGGUGGCGAAGGCGGUUCUCUGGGCCUUACCUGACGCUGAGGAGCGAAAGCGUGGGGAGCGAACAGG
rnacentral:rRNA from 1 species